ensembl:lncRNA
AUGCCUCGGAAAGGUAGGAGAUCCCAGGCUCAAAAAGUUUGUUGGAGAAAGUUAGACCUGACAGGACAGACGAGCAUCAGUAAAGGUGUUGCUCAGGUUUCUGAUGGACAGCAGUACGAAGAUGGCAACAACACAUCUAGAAUUCUAUCCGUGCAGGCGUCUCAUUGCCAGAGUGAUGCAAGGUAUGAUGUUUUCUCACGAAAUCAUCAGUGCACGUGUGUAGCUCUGACAUUCCUUGCGUACCACAGUGAGGGAACUUUGUUCGAACAGCCUGAUCUUGACAGAGUGCUAGAGGAAGGGGAUGCUUUGUAUGUUGGCAUUAAAAUGCAGCUUAUUGCUGAAGGAAGAUUCCGACAGGAUCUUCUAAGCAUGAGUGAAGUACCUGUGAGCAUCUCAACUUCUAACCACAACUACAGUGUCCAAAAGUCAGAAGUGUUGAUGGGAUAUCUGAGAGACAGAGGAACUCCUGAAAUGGACGCGUGGUGGAUUCCUCUUGACGAAAGACUUCAGUGUCUCUCAACAGAUGUCAGCCAUGCACUGCUUAUUGUUUCUCCAGAGUGCUUUGCUGUGUUCAGAGACAGUUCUGGAAGAUAUGGAUUUUUUGAUUCACAUUCCAGAACUGCUGAAGGUUUGCCACAUCCUACUGGUGACGGAACCGCAGUUAUGCUAACUUUCACCAACUUGCAUGACAUGACCAACAGAUUACUUGAGCUUUUUUGGAAUCGUGGUCCUCAGGCUUGCUAUGAGUUCAUGGCUGUUUCAUUUGAAAUGGAGCAACAGGCUGAGGAACCAUGCUCAUCAGCAGCAUGUGUGUCACCAUCAGAAGUAACUUCAUCUCUGCCAAAAACACAAACAAAUGCUGAUGUCAGAAUCCCUGAAAAUGUUGUUCUGACAGAUGACAAAAACAAAAGUGUCAUAAAGCUUUUGAAAACAAACAAGCAGCGAAGAAGAAAAGAAAUGCGUAAAAUUGUUUAUGAAAAGCAAGAUGCAGGACUAGAGGCUACAUCUUCACAUUUUGAAGUACGAAAACAAAAAAGAAGAGAAUAUGAGAGAGAGAAAUAUGCCACCAAUUUGCAGUUUCGGAUGAAGAAAAAGGAGAUUACCAAAAAGAAGUAUGAUCAAGAUCCUUUUGCCAGACACAAAAAGAUGGAAUACAUUACCAGGAGGUACAACACAGAUGUUCUCUUUCAAAAAAAGCAGAAGGGGUACAUAAUUAAGCGGUACCACACUGAUGCUCUUUUCCAAAGGAAAAUGAAGAACUACAUGGUCACGAGGUACAAGACAGAUGCUCUUUUCCAGAACAAAAUGAAGGACUACAUGUUCAGGAAGUACAAGAUUGAUGAUCUUUUCCAGAAGAAGAAGAAGGACUACAUGUUCAGGAGGUACAAGACCGAUGAUCUUUUCCAGAAGAAGAAGAAGGACUACAUGGUCAGGAGGUACAACACUGAAGAUCUUUUCCAGAAGAAGAAGAAGGACUACUUGGUCAGGAGGUACCACACUGAUGAUCUUUUCCAGAAGAAGAUGAAGGACUACUUGGCCAGAAGAUAUGCAAGUGAUUCAAAGUUUAGGUCACAUCACAUUCUACGUUGUACUCUCCAGAAGAAACAAAAGUGUCUCACCGAUCCUGGAUUCCAGAUUCUUCACAAGUUGAGAUGUGCAUUAAGGAUCAAGAGAAAAUACAAGCCAUACAUUUGUUCCAGCCAGGAUACACCCAAUUCUGAUGUGACAAACCAGCCUGUGUCCAACAGCUUAAUACAAAAGGCCAUAUCUGCAUUUCGG